rnacentral:rRNA from 1 species
GCACUCUUUUACUGUGAAACUGCGAAUGGCUCAUUAAAUCAGUUAUCGUUUAUUUGAUAGUACCCUACUACAUGGAUACCUGUGGUAAUUCUAGAGCUAAUACAUGCGCAAAACCCCGACUUCGGAAGGGGUGUAUUUAUUAGAUAAAAAACCAAUGCCCUUCGGGGCUCCUUGGUGAUUCAUAAUAACUUCACGAAUCGCAUGGCCUUGCGCCGGCGAUGGUUCAUUCAAAUUUCUGCCCUAUCAACUUUCGAUGGUAGGAUAGUGGCCUACCAUGGUGGCAACGGGUAACGGGGAAUUAGGGUUCGAUUCCGGAGAGGGAGCCUGAGAAACGGCUACCACAUCCAAGGAAGGCAGCAGGCGCGCAAAUUACCCAAUCCCGAUACGGGGAGGUAGUGACAAUAAAUACUGAUACAGGGCUCUUUUGGGUCUUGUAAUUGGAAUGAGAACAAUCUAAAUCCCUUAACGAGGAACAAUUGGAGGGCAAGUCUGGUGCCAGCAGCCGCGGUAAUUCCAGCUCCAAUAGCGUAUAUUAAAGUUGUUGCAGUUAAAAAGCUCGUAGUUGAACCUUGGGCCCGUCCUGCCGGUCCGCCUCACCGCGAGUACUGGUCCGGAUGGGCCUUUCUUUCUGGGGAAUCCCAUGGCCUUCACUGGCUGUGGCGGGGAACCAGGACUUUUACUGUGAAAAAAUUAGAGUGUUCAAAGCAGGCCUUUGCUCGGAUACAUUAGCAUGGAAUAAUAGAAUAGGACGUGCGGUUCUAUUUUGUUGGUUUCUAGGACCGCCGUAAUGAUUAAUAGGGAUAGUCGGGGGCGUCAGUAUUCAGCUGUCAGAGGUGAAAUUCUUGGAUUUGCUGAAGACUAACUACUGCGAAAGCAUUCGCCAAGGAUGUUUUCAUUAAUCAGGGAACGAAAGUUAGGGGAUCGAAGACGAUCAGAUACCGUCGUAGUCUUAACCAUAAACUAUGCCGACUAGGGAUCGGGCGGGGUUUCUAUGAUGACCCGCUCGGCACCUUACGAGAAAUCAAAGUUUUUGGG